GCGGAUUAGUGACAGAAGUAUGGCGUCGAUGUAAACAAAUCAGUGCUUUUAUUUAUUUGUUUUAAUGAAGAAAAAAUGGUCACAAGGAAAUGGGGAAGGAAAUAGCUACAGAUCCAAGAAAAUGGACAGAAGAAAAUAUGAAAAAAGCUAUAGAAGAUGUCAUAAGCAUUUAUUUUGAUAUGUAUUUUGAGAUGUUGUUGAAAGUGUUGACUGAAAACGAUUUAAUUGGUAAGCCUGAAAUAAUUAUUAACAUGGAGGAAAGUGGUAUUCAAAUUAACGAUAAAACUGGAAUCGAAAGAAAGGAAAGAAGACUAAAACAUGAGAGGCUUUAUUGGGGCACAUAUGACGGAUGUAUCCGUGGAAUGUGCCCCACCCUAGACUUUAAGAAAUCGUUUAUAUCAGCUAGUUUAAUUACUUUUAAGAAGGUUUUUUUUGUUUUUGUUAUACCUAUUGAGUCAGAGGUUAAGACUAAUUACUUUAAUAAACAUGUUUUAAAUUA